GGAGGGUGCAAGCGUUAUCCGGAUUUAUUGGGUUUAAAGGGUCCGUAGGCUGAUUUGUAAGUCAGUGGUGAAAUCUCACAGCUUAACUGUGAAACUGCCAUUGAUACUGCAAGUCUUGAGUGUUGUUGAAGUAGCUGGAAUAAGUAGUGUAGCGGUGAAAUGCAUAGAUAUUACUUAGAACACCAAUUGCGAAGGCAGGUUACUAAGCAACAACUGACGCUGAUGGACGAAAGCGUGGGGAGCGAACAGGAUUAGAUACCCUGGUAGUCCACGCCGUAAACGAUGCUAACUCGUUUUUGGGCUUUUGGGUUCAGAGACUAAGCGAAAGUGAUAAGUUAGCCACCUGGGGAGUACGAACGCAAGUUUGAA
rnacentral:rRNA from 1 species